GACGAACGCUGGCGGCGUGCUUAACACAUGCCAGUCGAACGCUGAAGCUCAGCUUUUGUUGGGUGGAUGAGUGGCGAACGGGUGAGUAACACGUGAGUAACCUGCCCCCUUCUUUGGGAUAACGCCCGGAAACGGGUGCUAAUACUGGAUAUUCACUGGUCGUCGCGUGGGGGCUGGUGGAAAGGGUUUUUCUGGUGGGGGAUGGGCUCGCGGCCUAUCAGCUUGUUGGGGGGGUGAUGGCCUACCAAGGCUUUGACGGGUAGCCGGCCUGAGAGGGUGACCGGUCAGAUUGGGAGUGAGAUACGGCCCAGACUCCUACGGGAGGCAGCAGUGGGGAAGAUUGCACAAUGGGCGCAAGCCUGAUGCAGCGACGCCGCGUGAGGGAUGGAGGCCUUCGGGUUGUGAACCUCUUUCGCUCAUGGUCAAGCCGCAACAAUGGUUGUGGUGAGGGUAGUGGGUAAAGAAGCGCCGGCUAACUACGUG
rnacentral:rRNA from 1 species